rnacentral:tRNA from 1 species
GGACCUUUAGUUCAUUGGUAGAACAGUCGCCUCAUAAGCGAAAAGUAAUAGGUUCGAUUCCUAUAAGGUCCAUCA